AGAGUUUGAUCCUGGCUCAGAACGAACGCUGGCGGCGUGCCUAACACAUGCAAGUCGAACGUGAUUAGAGAGCUUGCUCUUUAUGAAAGUGGCGCACGGGUGAGUAACGCGUAGAUAAUCUACCUGAUGAUCCGGGAUAACAGUUCGAAAGGACUGCUAAUACCUGAUAAGCCCACGGAGUCCUUGGACUCUGCGGGAAAAGGGGGGGAUCGCAAGACCUUCCGUCAUCAGAUGAGUCUGCGUACCAUUAGCUAGUUGGUAGGGUAAAGGCCUACCAAGGCGACGAUGGUUAGCUGGUCUGAGAGGAUGAUCAGCCACACUGGAACUGAGACACGGUCCAGACUCCUACGGGAGGCAGCAGUGGGGAAUUUUGCGCAAUGGGGGAAACCCUGACGCAGCAACGCCGCGUGAGUGAUGAAGGCCCUUGGGUCGUAAAGCUCUGACAGAGGGAAAGAAAUGCAGAGUGGCUAAUAUCCACAUUGCUUGACGGUACCCUCAAAGGAAGCACCGGCUAACUCCGUGCCAGCAGCCGCGGUAAUACGGGGGGUGCAAGCGUUGUUCGGAUUUAUUGGGCGUAAAGCGCGUGUAGGCGGUUUUAUAAGUCUGAUGUGAAAGCCCUGGGCUCAACCCGGGAAGUGCAUUGGAUACUGUAAGACUUGAAUACGGGAGAGGGCAGUGGAAUUCCUAGUGUAGGAGUGAAAUCCGUAGAUAUUAGGAGGAACACCGGUGGCGAAGGCGGCUGCCUGGACCGAUAUUGACGCUGAGACGCGAAAGCGUGGGUAGCAAACAGGAUUAGAUACCCUGGUAGUCCACGCCGUAAACGAUGAGAACUAGGUGUUGCGGGUAUUGACCCCUGCAGUGCCGUAGCUAACGCAUUAAGUUCUCCGCCUGGGAAGUACGGUCGCAAGACUAAAACUCAAAGGAAUUGACGG
rnacentral:rRNA from 1 species